rnacentral:rRNA from 1 species
GACGAACGCUGGCGGCGUGCUUAACACAUGCAAGUCGAACGAAGUGGCGAACGGGUGAGUAACGCGUAAUUAACCUGCCCUUCAGAGGUGGACAACAGUUGGAAACGACUGCUAAUACCGCAUACUGAAGGAGGGGAUUGCGUCUGAUGAGCUAGUUGGAGGGGUAACGGCCCACAAAGGCGAUGAACAGGAGGCGGUCUGGGAGGAUGAACAGCCAACUUGGGACUGCGACCCGGCCCAUAGUCCUACGGGAGGGAGCAGUGGGGAAUCUUCCGCAAUGGGCGAAAGUCUGACGGCGCAACGCCGCGUGAGUGAUGACGGCCUCCGGGUUGUAAAGCUCUGUUAAUCGGGACGCGGUACCGGAAUAGAAAGCCACGGCUAACUACGUGCCAGCCGCCGCGGUAAUAC